ACUUUGGGAUGGACCUGCGGCGCAUUAGCUUGUUGGUAGGGUAACGGCCUACCAAGGCUGUGAUGCGUAGCCGAGUUGAGAGACUGAUCGGCCACAAUGGAACUGAGACACGGUCCAUACUCCUACGGGAGGCAGCAGUAGGGAAUCUUCCACAAUGGGCGCAAGCCUGAUGGAGCAACACCGCGUGAGUGAAGAAGGGUUUCGGCUCGUAAAGCUCUGUUGUUAGAGAAGAACGUGCGUGAGAGYAACUGUUCACGCAGUGACGGUAUCUAACCAGAAAGUCACGGCUAACUACGUGCCAGCAGCCGCGGUAAUACGUAGGUGGCAAGCGUUAUCCGGAUUUAUUGGGCGUAAAGCGAGCGCAGGCGGUUUGAUAAGUCUGAUGUGAAAGCCUUUGGCUUAACCAAAGAAGUGCAUCGGAAACUGUCAGACUUGAGUGCAGAAGAGGRCAGUGGAACUCCAUGUGUAGCGGUGGAAUGCGUAGAUAUAUGGAAGAACACCAGUGGCGAAGGCGGCUGYCUGGUCUGCAACUGACGCUGAGGCUCGAAAGCAUGGGUAGCGAACAGGAUUAGAUACCCUGGUAGUCCAUGCCGUAAACGAUGAGUGCUAGGUGUUGGAGGGUUUCCGCCCUUCAGUGCCGCAGCUAACGCAUUAAGCACUCCGCCUGGGGAGUACGACCGCAAGGUUGAAACUCAAAGGAAUUGACGGGGGCCCGCACAAGCGGUGGAGCAUGUGGUUUAAUUCGAAGCUACGCGAAGAACCUUACCAGGUCUUGACAUCUUGCGCCAACCCUAGAGAUAGGGCGUUUCCUUCGGGAACGCAAUGACAGGUGGUGCAUGGUCGUCGUCAGCUCGUGUCGUGAGAUGUUGGGUUAAGUCCCGCAACGAGCGCAACCCUUGUUACUAGUUGCCAGCAUUCAGUUGGGCACUCUAGUGAGACUGCCGGUGACAAACCGGAGGAAGGUGGGGACGACGUCAGAUCAUCAUGCCCCUUAUGACCUGGGCUACACACGUGCUACAAUGGACGGUACAACGAGUCGCGAACUCGCGAGGGCAAGCUAAUCUCUUAAAACCGUUCUCAGUUCGGACUGCAGGCUGCAACUCGCCUGCACGAAGUCGGAAUCGCUAGUAAUCGCGGAUCAGCAUGCCGCGGUGAAUACGUUCCCGGGCCUUGUACACACCGCCCGUCACACCAUGAGAGUUUGCAACACCCAAAGUCGGUGGGGUAACCCUUCGGGGAGCUAGCCGCCUAAGGUGGGGCAGAUGAUUAGGGUGAAGUCGUAACAAGGUAGCCGUAGGAGAACCUGCGGCUGGAUCACCUCCUUU
rnacentral:rRNA from 1 species